rnacentral:rRNA from 1 species
GAACGCUGGCGGCGUGCCUAACACAUGCAAGUCGAACGAAGCACCUUACCUGAUUCUUCGGAUGAAGGUCUGGUGACUGAGUGGCGGACGGGUGAGUAACGCGUGGGUAACCUGCCUCAUACAGGGGGAUAACAGUUAGAAAUGACUGCUAAUACCGCAUAAGACCACAGCACCGCAUGGUGCAGGGGUAAAAACUCCGGUGGUAUGAGAUGGACCCGCGUCUGAUUAGGUAGUUGGUGGGGUAACGGCCUACCAAGCCGACGAUCAGUAGCCGACCUGAGAGGGUGACCGGCCACAUUGGGACUGAGAUACGGCCCAGACUCCUACGGGAGGCAGCAGUCGGGAAUAUUGCACAAUGGGGGAAACCCUGAUGCAGCGACGCCGCGUGGAGGAAGAAGGUUUUCGGAUCGUAAACUCCUGUCCUUGGAGACGAGUAGAAGACGGUAUCCAAGGAGGAAGCCCCGGCUAACUACGUGCCAGCAGCCGCGGUAAUACGUAGGGGGCAAGCGUUGUCCGGAAUAAUUGGGCGUAAAGGGCGCGUAGGCGGCUCGGUAAGUCUGGAGUGAAAGUCCUGCUUUUAAGGUGGGAAUUGCUUUGGAUACUGUCGGGCUUGAGUGCAGGAGAGGUUAGUGGAAUUCCCAGUGUAGCGGUGAAAUGCGUAGAGAUUGGGAGGAACACCAGUGGCGAAGGCGACUAACUGGACUGUAACUGACGCUGAGGCGCGAAAGUGUGGGGAGCAAACAGGAUUAGAUACCCUGGUAGUCCACGCUGUAAACGAUGAUUAAAAGGUGUGGGGGGUCUGACCCCUUCCGUGCCAGGAGUUAACUCAAUUAAGUAUUCCUACUGGGGGAGUGCGCCGACAAGGUUGAAAUUCAAAGGAAUUGACGGGGGCCCGCACAAGCAGGAGAGUAUGUAGUUUAAUUGGAAGCAACGCGAAGAACCUUACCAGGUCUUUACACCCAACUAACAAAGUAGAGAUACAUUAGGUGCCCUAUCGAGGAAAGUUGAGACAAGGUGGUGCAUGGUUGUCGUCAGCUCGUGUAGUGAGAUGUUGGGUUAAGUCCCGCAACGAGCGCAACCCUUGCUAUUAGUUACUACGCAAGAGCACUCUAAUAGGACUGCCGUUGACAAAACGGAGGAAGGUGGGGACGACGUCAAAUCAUCAUACCCCUUAUGACCUGGGCUACACACGUACUACAAUGGAUGUUAACAGAGGGAAGCAAGACAGUGAUGUGGAGCAAACCCCUAAAAACAUUCUCAGUUCAGAUUGCAGGCUGCAACCCGCCUGCAUGAAGAUGGAAUUGCUAGUAAUCGCGGAUCAGCAUGCCGCGGUGAAUACGUUCCCGGGCCUUGCACACACCGCCCGUCA